UUUGGAUCAGGGCCAUAAGGUACACAUAUGAGCAGAGACCGGAGUGGGGGUUUUGCACCAAUAUCACUAUUUAGUGACACUGGUGCAGGUUUUUUUAAUAUAGGUAAACCCAUACAGACAGACACAAACAUAUAUGUAAACAGAAAAGGAGUACU